rnacentral:rRNA from 1 species
AAUUAUCUUUUAUAAAUACAUAAAUUUUAAUUUGGAAAAAUUACAUUAAGGGCCCUCCCUGCCCAGUGAAUGAAAGCUAAUAUUUUCAUUUUAACGGCUGCGGUAUCCUGACCGUACAAAGGUAGCAUAAUCAUUUGCCUUUUGAUUGGAGGCUAGAAUGAAUGGGAAGACUUAGUUUAACUGUCUCAAUACUAGUUUUGAUAAAUUAACUUAUUAGUGAAGAGGCUAAUAUUUUAGAGUAGGACGAGAAGACCCCUGAAAAGCUUAUUUUAAUGUGUAAAAGUAAAAUUAUUUUAAAUUUAAUUUAUUAUUAAAUAUAUAUUUAAAACAAUUUAUUUAUAUUAUAUCUUAAAAUUUAACUGGGGCGGUUAUUGGUAAAACUAAAUCUACCAAAUUUUUAAUUUUAAUUUAUUGGUAUUAUAUAAAUUUAAUAUUUACUUUGUAAAUUUUAAUCUAAUAAAUAAAUUUUAUAAUAUCAAAAAUUUAAUUUUAGUAAGAUCCAAUUUAGUAAAUACUACUUGCUUGAAAAGUAUAUUUAACUAACUUGAAAAUCGUAAAUUAAAAGUUACUAAGGGGAUAACAGAAAAAUUUAAUAAGUAAGUUCUUAUUACUUAUUAUAGCUUUUUACCUCGAUGUUGGACUAGGGUUGACCUC